rnacentral:rRNA from 1 species
CAGUAGCCGCGGUAAUACGAGGGGUGCAAGCGUUAUUCGGAUUGAUUGGGUGUAAAGGGUGUGCAGACGGCUUAUUAAGUCACUUGUUAAAUUCUUCGGCCUAACUGAAGGUCUGCAAGUGAUACUGAUGAGCUAGAGGGUGGAAGAGAGAAGUGGAAUUCUCGGAGUAGCGGUAAAAUGCGUAGAUCUCGAGAGGAACACCAAUGGCGAAGGCAGCUUCUUGGUCCAUUCCUGACGUUCAUACACGAAAGCGUGGGGAGCGAACAGGAUUAGAUACCCCCGUAGUCCCUGUCUCUUAUAC